rnacentral:misc_RNA from 1 species
GAUAAGAACGUAGUGAAAUGCGAUAAGUAAUGUGAAUUGCAGAAUUCAGUGAAUCAUCGAAUCUUUGAACGCACCUUGCGCCUUUUGGUAUUCCGAAAGGCACACCUGUUUGAGCGUCAUGAAUACCUCAAUCUCCAUCUUUUCUUCGGAUUGAUGGGUGACUUGGAUGUUGAGCCCUGCUGGUAUGCUAUAUCAGCUGGCUUUAAACUUAUUAGCCGGCUCUGUACUGGAUCGGUUUGACUCGACGUGAUAAUAUUAUCGUUGAGGAUGCAUGUCUCAUGCAGCCGGAAAGUAUCAAAGCAGCUUCUAGCUUGCCUUUAGUGCACUUUUACAUUUUAGACCUCAGAUCAGGUGGGACUACCCGCUGAACUUAAGCAUAUCAAUAAGCGGAGGA